AGAUUGAACGCUGGCGGCAUGCCUAACACAUGCAAGUCGAACGGGAGUAGCAAUACUCUAGUGGCGGACGGGUGAGGAAUACGUAGGAAUUUGCCCUUAAGUGGGGGAUAACCCGGGGAAACCCGGAUUAAUACCGCAUGACCUCGAAAGAGCAAAGUGGGGGAUCGCAAGACCUCACGCUUUUGGAGAAGCCUACGUCGGAUUAGCUAGUUGGUGAGGUAAUGGCUCACCAAGGCGACGAUCCGUAACUGGUCUGAGAGGAUGAUCAGUCACACCGGAACUGAGACCGACGGUCCGGACUCCCGUACGGGAGGCCAGGCAGGUGGGGAAUAGUUGGACUAAGUGGGCGACGAAGCCGUGAUCCAGACCAAGUCGACCGCGUGUCGUAGAAGAACGGUCCGUUACGGUUA
rnacentral:rRNA from 1 species